UACGAGGGUCGAGCGUUAAUCGGAAUUACUGGGCGUAAAGCGCGCGUAGGUGGAUUGGUCAGUCAGAUGUGAAAGCCCAGGGCUCAACCUUGGAACUGCAUCUGAUACUGCUAGUCUAGAAUACGAUAGAGGGUAGUGGAAUUUCCUGUGUAGCGGUGAAAUGCGUAGAUAUAGGAAGGAACACCAGUGGCGAAGGCGAC
rnacentral:rRNA from 1 species